CGCCCAUUAACACUGUCUAAACAAAUUUUCUAUUCACCUUUACAAGUCGUAUCAUUACGGUUACGAAGAUAAAAAUAUAAUGUAUUAUCCACCAAAGAUAUAUCACCAUAUGCUUCACAAAACCACAACCCUCCUUAAUCAAAGAAAGAACAUCAAAAGCAUGUUUGACUCAAUCCGACAUGUGAACAGUCCUAGUCAAGGAUAGGGUUGGUUCACCACAAGUACCCCUAGGAAUACAACAUAAUAUUCUUACUUGGUCAGCCAAUAAAUGAACAUCAGAAAAGUGCACACUGAUGCAACUAGGGAAAGUAUUAUGGUAUCCAUCGACUUUUUCCUCCUUAUUGCAGUGAGAAUGUGAUUUACCGUUGGAAGGCGGCUGGUAACAUUGCUGAGCUUUGAAUUGAUUCCC
rnacentral:misc_RNA from 1 species